GGUGGAGCGGUGGGUUUCUACUCAGGAGGUCCCCGGAUCGAAUCCUGGC
rnacentral:tRNA from 10 species